GCGGGGGAGUCCGGGCCGUGCUAGCGUCCGCACUGUCGGGGCGAGGGGUGUGAGAAACGGUUACCAGCAAGCAGUAAUACGUUGUCCCACACAGAUUGCCGUCCUGAAGGGAAGAAAAUCAGUUGAGGCAACUCCAUCCGAAUCUGAAUCCUUUAUUUUCGAUCUUCACCUUUAUUCUUUUACUCAUUUUUUCACUGUUGUCUUGGAGUGUCCCCCCGGGUGCCAUCACCACCUAGGGGACGUGGGCGGCGGUACAGUUCCUGCCAUCCCUGGGCUUGCAGUCUGCUGGGCCCCGGGGCUAGUAAACAAUUCUGUGGGCCGGGCGAAGUACUGUGACAGAGGAACUGGUUUAGAUUGGGAGCACAGUACAAGGAAUGCUCAAGUUGACCCUUAGGCCUAGAAUAUGGGAGAAGUUUUCAGAGCAGCUGAGGCUUGGUUUGUUGCAGUUGGCUGGGGUAAGAAGGCAAGAAUGAAGAGGAGGAGGUGGAAAGGGAAAAGGAAACUUGUACAGUAUAGAGUAGCUGUAGUUGGGAAAACAGUGGGGAAAUGAAACAGGAGAGGUGGACAUGAAUCCAAUUUUCAAUCUUUUAUAACGUCUUUUUGAACAUUUGGAAGACCAUUCUGACAGCAAUAUCGAGGGUGGAUUUUUGCAGGAGUGGAAGAUACAGCAAUAUUAAGCAGGCUACAACAAAGCUUCCUUGGAGGUGUUUGCAAUAACUCCGAAGAACUAAGCCAUUUUACUACUUUGGACAGCAGGAGACAAACAAACCCUUCCUUUUCUGAUUAGUAGGAUGCUGCCACAGCGUGGGGUGAUAAGUGGUGUGUAGCUCUGAGCCUGGGCUCCGAACUCACAGACCCCAGGCCGCCAAAGCAGAGUGCGUGAACUUAACCACUGCAUCACCAGGCUGGCCCCAAAAGAGGAUUUAUUUUUUGCACCUGUCUCUAAGUCUUUGUCCACAAAUUAAACAAAACAAACACAGUGCUAUUGGUUUUUUUUUUUUUUUUACGGUUAUAACUGUAAUAUGCUUAGUGCAUAAAAUUUGGAAAAUAAAGAAGAAAAAGCAAAAGGAAAAUUACCUAUAAUCCUACCACCAUAAAUAGUCUCUCAAUAUUUUGGCAUAUUUUCCUCCAAGCAUUAUUUGUAACUUGCCCAUAUAGCAUAACUUAUACAUAUAGCAUAAGCAUUUUCCUAUCUCAUUAAGUAUUCUCACACUGGAAUUCUGAUGGAUGAAUAUAACAAUUUAACCAAUUCUCUACUACUGAACACUUAGUGUUUUCAUUAUUAUAAAUAAUGUCACCUAAACCUCAUUUAAAAGCAUAGUGCUUACUUUUCAUUGUUUUUUUAAGAUAAUUUUUUAGAAUUAGGAUUACAAAGCUAAAGAGACUAAAUUUUUUGAAAUCUUUUAAUAGAUACUGCAAGAAGCCGAUGGGAAAUCCAUAAAAAGCACAUACUGUUAGCACACUUCUCAAGUGAAGUUCCAAAUCCAAAACCUUUCAGUUCCCUCCACUUCUAACUUUCAAAAUUUUCAAAAUGAUACAAGUAUAGCAAAGAUCAAACUGCCAAAUUAGUGUUUUCUCUUCCUAAACAUACACAUAUUAGCAAAUAUCAUAUAUCAGGCACUGUGUUAAUGAAUGAUGUAAUGAAGUAUCUGAUUUGCCUUUGUAUUCUGAGUGUCAACAUCAUGCCUAGCACAUAGUAAUUGCUCAAGGAAUGUCUGUUGAAUAAAUGAAAUACAGAAAUGCAUCACUUACUAGGCAUAAUUUAGAAAUGUGCUAUUCCAAACAGGGUAAUUUGGCAAAACAGAAAAAUGAUUUUCCUUAAGUCCCAAAUUUUUUAAAAAAUUGAUGAAUAUUGUUGUAAAUAUAUAUCAAACUAUUCUUGAAUACUUAAGUGAAACAUAAACAUCUGGAUGACCUGGGGUCAUCCUUAAUUGCUGUAAUGUACAGCUUGCUAUCUGGAGUUACUAGGGCACACAGGAUUCACUGCUUUCAUAUCAUAUUUAGCCUUAGACUACUUUUAGUUUUAAUUCCUAUAUGUGCAUUUGGUUGUUUUCCCUGCCUUAUACCUCACAGCUGGCCAUCAUUUCUCAUUUACCUGUGUAUUUGCUUCUGGCAGUCUAAUCUACCAUGAAUUAGAAUACAACUAAGUUUAUUAGAAUUAUGUAUUGAAGAAGUCAAAAGGUUCUAAGUGAAUAUUGAAACAGCUUUUCUGUAAGCCAAAAGAAUACACUUUAGUACAUUAACUUCAGUACAUGAAUUCUGCUUAGAAAACCCAUGCCCAUUUUUCACACUCAACUUAAACAGUUGUUAGCUCUCGGAAGUCUUCCCAGAAAAGAAAUAAUCUACUGCUACCCUACAACCCAAGUGACAUCCCAUCACAGGGAUAAGGCAAUGACCAACAAACACUUUGAGCAUGGAUAAUAAACACUCAUACCUUUAAUACGUAUGAGGUAUUUGUAUGCAAUAUGUAGUAUUUUUGCAUGAGUUAAAACUUUAUGUCUGUGUUAAACUGUAUGCUUCUGUGACUUGCUUUUUUCCCCCCCAAUACUCCACAUGAGACUCGUCCACAUUCAUAUGUGGAGAUUUAGUUCAUUCAUUUUCUUGACUAUCUUCCAUUACAUGAAAAUACCACAGUUUAUUCAUCCUCCUUGUUGAUGGACCGUCAGGGUUUUUGUCUUGAUUUUUUUGUUAACAAAGCUGCUUUGAAUACUCUUUUAUAUGUUUCCUUACGUACAUAUGCAGGAAUUUCUCAAAGACAUAUACCUAGGAAUAGAAUUGCUGGGUUGUAUUGAAGACAUAUAUUCUACUUGAAUAAAUGCCAAAUUUAUAUCCCUACCAAAACGAUAGGAGAGCUUCCAGUGCUCCACCCACAUCCUGAUCAACACCAGCACUUGGUAUUGUCCUGAUGACUGACAACUUCCUGAGUGUGAAUGGUAUUUCACUGUAGUUUUAACAUGUAUAUCCCUGAUUUCUAGCAAGGGAUUUCUAACAAGGUUGAGCAUCUUUUCAAAUGCUAGUUGGCUAUUUGUUCUUUUAUUGUUAAUUGCUUAUUCAUAUCUAUCGUCCCUUUGUCUUGAGCUGUCUUUAGCUUACUGAUUGACAGAUGAUACUUAUAUAAUAUAGAUAAUAUUCCGGGCAGCUACAUAUACUGCAUGUAUCUUCUUAUAACCUGUUUUUUUAAAUUUAGUUUUAAUAACAUCUUUUGUGAUGAGUUUUUACUAACAAAAUCAAUGUAAUGUAAGGUAAUUCUAUUAUAAUCAAAAUGGUCAAUCUUUUCCUUUAAGGUUUGUGCUUUUUUUUUUUUGCCUUAUCUAGGAAAUUCUUUCCUAUUUCUGUCAUAAAAAUAUUUUUCUAUGUUUUCUUCAAAAAGUAUUAAAAGUUUGCUUUUUGUUUUUGUCUUGAUCUAUAAGAGCACAGUCCUUAUAAUUUUUCAUUCUUAUUUUACAUAUAUUGAAGUUAUAUUAUUGGUGCACACAAGUUCAGAAUUUAUGUUUCUGAUGAAGUGACCAUAAAAAUAAUUCUUUUUACACUAAAUAGUUAGAGCACAUGCUAAAAUGCUAUAAUAGAGAAGUCCAAAAUACAGUAGCUUAAAAAGAAGUUUAUUUUUCUUGCAUGUAAGAUUUUGAAGGUAAAUGUACAGCCUGAGGUUGAUAGACAGCUCUGCCCCACGACUGCCAUUCAUUCGACAUGGGUAACAAUUGUCUUACUGCAAUUGCCUUUUCCAGCCAAUUGGAAGAGGCACGAGAAAAUCUAGACAAGCAGUUUUGUCUUUAAGGAGAGUAUCAGGAAGCUAUAUUCUUCACUUGUGUUCAUAUUCCAUUGGCCCUAACUUAAACACAUGGUCACAAAUACCUGCAAGAAAGUCUAGGAAGUGUAGUCUCUAGCUGAGUGGCCAGUAAGACUGAGAAUUCUUCUACCAAAAGGAAGAAAGGAAGAACAGUUUCUGCUAUUUUAACUCCUAUCAAUAUUACUGUUUUCAUGUUGGUUGGUGUUUGCCUGGUAUAUCUUUCCUUUUGGUUAGGGUUUCAUGGUUUUAUCUUUUUCCACCCUUUUACUGUCAUUCUAUGUUCUCAUAUUUCAUGUGUUUCUUCUUCAAAUUGCAUAUUAGAUGUACUUCAAUCUGACAAGUUUAGUCUAGUUACAUAUAUCCUGACAACUGAAAUGUAUGCAUUAUUUCUGCUAUCUUAUUUUGGCUUUCUAUUGUUUACGUAUUUCCUAUGCUUUUUCACCCCCUCUUCUGGACUUCUUUUGGAUUGACUGUGAUUAUUUUAUUUCAUUUUCCACCUACUAUUUAGAAAGUUUUACAAUUUAUUUCUAUUUAUUUAGCAGUUACACUUAAAAUUUUUAAAUACAUGCCUUUUAAAAACUAAAAUCAUUUAGUAAAUCUACCUUCCCAAUAAAUACAAGGAUCUUAGAAAGCUUUAACUCUAAACAUUGCACUCCCAUCUUACAUGUUCUUGUUCUCCAAUAUUUGAGUUCUAUUGUAUUUUUGUUUCUCCAAAUUUGUUAGCAUUAAUAUUAUUAUUAUUGUUGUCUUUGCUAUUUUACACAAUGUUCCUGAUGAAUGCUUACAAUUUCUGGAUUCACUUUUUCUUCUUGCAUUACAAAAAUUUCUUCUAGGGUAUUUUUCCAUUUUCCCUAAAUUCAUCUUUAGCAGUUUCGUUAGUGAGGGUCUCAAGAUAGUAAGCACUCUGGUUUUGUUGUUGUUGUUAUUGUCUGUUGGUUGGUUGGUUCUGGCAUUUGAAAAUAUCUUUAUUUUACUUUCAUUAUUCUAUUAUGGUUUAGAUAGGUCCAUAAAAUCAGUUUGACAGUUAAUUUCUCUUAGUACUUGGAAGUAUUUUUAAACUUGUUUUUUGGCUUCCAUUGUUGCUGUUGAGAUGUUUGCUGACAGAACUGUUAUCUUUUUCAUAUUGAAAAUCUGUCAUUUCUCUCUCUGCUUUUAAUAUCUUCUAUUUUUCUUAGGUUUUCUGCAAUUUCACUAUAACACAUUUGUUUAUUCUUCAUGUAUUUCAUUGUUCUUUUUGAAUCUAAAGGUUCAUAUCUUUCAUAGAUCUAAAACCCCUUAGGGAUUAUCUCUUCAAAAUAUCCCAACCUGUUCAUUUUUUUCUUCUAGAUUAGACAUAGAUAUACUAAUAUAUAUUUCUCUUAAUAUUACUUUCAUCUGUGUCUCUUUGAUGGAUUCUGGGUAAUUUAUUUACCUCUAUCUUCCAAUCUACAGCUUUAGUUUUGAACUUAAUCUGAUCUGUUUAACCUGUCCAUUGCAUUUUAAUUUCUAUAGUUUUUGUUUUGUUUUGUUUUGUUUUUUUGAGGAAGAUUAGCCCUCAGCUAACUAC